CCCUGAGGAGGCCUGCCCUCCCACGGUGGGGGUGGGGGUCUGGUCCCGCGGUGAGGUUUCCAUCCCCCUUCUGCUGGCUCUGCCUCGCCGCACCUGGCGACACCAUGAAAGCGUUUCUCCAGCGGACACCCACGUGCUGACAACUGCCCACCUAGUCCCAGCAGGCCUGCAAACAAGAGACUCGGCUGAAAGGGGGCCUGGGCCUCCCCCGAUGGCUCGGUGGAGGACGAGGAGCAAACAUUCCGUGAGCAUGUGCGGGGCCCCACACACGUGACCCGGGGCAGCCCGUCCCUCGUUCCUGCUGCCUUCCCCAUGAAUGGACAGGCACUGGGCAGUGCUGAGGGACGGGACGGGCUCGAACCCGUCAGCUGAGGCUGAGCAAACAAACAGCCCUAAGAGCAGUGAGCCAGGACACCCCAGCUGGCAAAUCCGAACAGUGCGAUACGAUGAGCAGCCCGAACGUGUCUCGAAACCAUGUGGUCACCCUGCAGGGAGCGGCAACCCUGAGUGACGCCCAGGUUUUCGUCGCGGUGGGAGGCACCGUCUGAGUGCGCGUCCUCGAACUGCGCGCCCACGAGUCCUGCUGCUGCCUACCAGUGAAACCUCCGAAAAGUCCCGGGGGAAAGAAAACAUCGUGCCUGUCCACCUGUGAGGAGUCACUCCACACCGUGGGACACACCGCAAACAAGCGAGACCACCUGCCCAGGGGAUCUUACCUUCGGAUGGCUGAGGAAUUCAAUUAGCAAUUUAGAAAACCCAGACAGCCCUGGCCGGUUUGGCUCAGCAGUUAGAGUGUCAGCCCUCAG